rnacentral:rRNA from 1 species
AGCGAACGCUGGCGGCAGGCUUAACACAUGCAAGUCGAACGCCCCGCAAGGGGAGUGGCAGACGGGUGAGUAACACGUGGGAACGUACCCUUUGGUUCGGAAUAACUUGGGGAAACUCAAGCUAAUACCGGAUAAGCCCUUAUGGGGAAAGGUUUACUGCCGAAGGAUCGGCCCGCGUCUGAUUAGCUAGUUGGUGAGGUAAUGGCUCACCAAGGCGACGAUCAGUAGCUGGUCUGAGAGGAUGAUCAGCCACACUGGGACGGAGACACGGCCCAGACUCGUACGGGAGGCAGCAGUGGGGAAUAUUGGACAAUGGGGUCAACCCUGAUCCAGCCAUGCCGCGUGAGUGAUGAAGGCCUUAGGGUUGUAAAGCUCUUUUACCCGGGACGAUAAUGACUGUACCGGGAGAAUAAGCCCCGGCUAACUUCGUGCCAGCCGCCGCAGUAA